rnacentral:rRNA from 1 species
GAUGAACGCUAGCGACAGGCUUAACACAUGCAAGUCGAGGGGCAGCAUAAAAGUAGCAAUACUUUGGUGGCGACCGGCGCACGGGUGAGUAACGCGUAUGCAACCUACCUAUCAGAGGGGAAUAACCCGGCGAAAGUCGGACUAAUACCGCAUAAAACAGGGGCACCGCAUGGUGAUAUUUGUUAAAGAAAUUCGCUGAUAGAUGGGCAUGCGUUCCAUUAGGUAGUUGGUGAGGUAACGGCUCACCAAGCCGACGAUGGAUAGGGGAACUGAGAGGUUGGGCCCCCACACUGGUACUGAGACACGGACCAGACUCCUACGGGAGGCAGCAGUGAGGAAUAUUGGUCAAUGGGCGGGAGCUUGAACCAGCCAAGUCGCGUGAAGGAAGAAGGAUCUAUGGUUCGUAAACUUCUUUUGCAGGGGAAUAAAGUGCAGGACGUGUCCUGUUUUGUAUGUACCCUGAGAAUAAGGAUCGGCUAACUCCGUGCCAGCCGCCGCCGUAA